rfam:Felis catus isolate Cinnamon breed Abyssinian chromosome C1, whole genome shotgun sequence.
GCCUGGGUGGCUCAGUCAGUUGAGCGUCUGACUUCGGCUCAGGUCAUGAUCUCGCGCUUUGUGAGUUCGAGCCCCGCGUCGGGCU